AUUGAACGCUGGCGGCAGGCCUAACACACGCAAGUCGAACGAGUGGCGGACGGGUGAGUAAUGUCUGGGAAACUGCCUGAUGGAGGGGGCUAACUACUGGAAACGGUAGCUAAUACCGCAUACCAUCAAAUGUGACCAGGUGGGAUGAGCUAGUUGGGGGGGUAACGGCUCACCAAGGCGACGCUCCCUAGCUGGUCUGAGAGGAUGACCAGCCACACGGGAACUGAGACACGGUCCAGACUCCUACGGGAGGCAGCAGUGGGGAAUAUUGCACAAUGGGCGCAAGCCUGAUGCAGCCAUGCCGCGUGUAUGAAGAAGGCCUUCGGGUUGUAAAGUACUUUCAGCGGGGAGGCGUUACCCGCAGAAGAAGCACCGGCUAACUCCGUGCCAGCCGCCGCGGUAAUAC
rnacentral:rRNA from 1 species